rnacentral:rRNA from 1 species
CCCUUAGAUGUUCUGGCCGCACGCGCGCUACACUGAUGCAUUCAACGAGUCCAACCUUGACCGAGAGGUCCGGGUAAUCUUUGAAACUGCAUCGUGAUGGGGCUAGAUUAUUGCAAUUAUUAAUCUUCAACGAGGAAUGCCUAGUAAGCGUGAUUCAUCAAAUCGCGUUGAUUACGUCCCUGCCCUUUGUACACACCGCCCGUCGCUCCUACCGAUUGAGUGUGUUGGUGAGGAGUUUGGAUUGGCCUCGGAAGGUGGUUCGCCACCGUCCGUAGCUGAGAAGUUCUCCAAACCGCCCCACUUAGAGGAAGGAGAAGUCGUAACA